rnacentral:rRNA from 1 species
CGGCGACCGGCGCACGGGUGAGUAACGCGUAUGCAACUUACCUAUCAGAGGGGGAUAGCCCGGCGAAAGUCGGAUUAAUACCCCAUGAAACAGGGGUCCCGCAUGGGAAUAUUUGUUAAAGAUUCAUCGCUGAUAGAUAGGCAUGCGUUCCAUUAGGCAGUUGGCGGGGUAACGGCCCACCAAACCGACGAUGGAUAGGGGUUCUGAGAGGAAGGUCCCCCACAUUGGUACUGAGACACGGACCAA